rnacentral:rRNA from 1 species
UACGUAGGUGGCGAGCGUUGUCCGGAUUUACUGGGCGUAAAGGGAGCGUAGGCGGACUUUUAAGUGAGAUGUGAAAUACUCGGGCUCAACUUGAGUGCUGCAUUUCAAACUGGAAGUCUAGAGUGCAGGAGAGGAGAAUGGAAUUCCUAGUGUAGCGGUGAAAUGCGUAGAGAUUAGGAAGAACACCAGUGGCGAAGGCGAUUCUCUGGACUGUAACUGACGCUGAGGCACGAAAGCGUGGGGAGCAAAUAGG